UGGGGAAUCUUGGACAAUGGGGGCAACCCUGAUCCAGCGAUGCCGCGUGAGUGAAGAAGGCCUUCGGGUCGUAAAGCUCUUUAGGUUGGGAAGAAGGGAUAUAUCGGAUAAUGGUAUAUUUUUGACUGUACCGACAGAAUAAGCACCGGCAAACUCUGUGCCAGCAGCCGCGGUAAUACAGAGGGUGCGAGCGUUAAUCGGAGUUACUGGGCGUAAAGGGCGCGUAGGCGGUUGAAUGGGUGUGAUGUGAAAGCCCCGGGCUUAACCUGGGAAGUGCAUCGCAAACUAUUCGACUGGAGUAUAUGAGAGGGUGGCGGAAUUUCCGGUGUAGCGGUGAAAUGCGUAGAGAUCGGAAGGAACGUCAAUGGCGAAGGCAGCCACCUGGCAUAAUACUGACGCUGAGGCGCGAAAGCGUGGGGAGCGAACAG
rnacentral:rRNA from 1 species